rnacentral:rRNA from 1 species
AUACGUAGGGGGCGAGCGUUGUCCGGAAUGAUUGGGCGUAAAGGGCGCGUUGGCGGCCCGGUAAGUCUGGAGUGAAAGUCCUGUUUUUAAGAUGGGAAUUGCUUUGGAUACUGUCGGGCUUGAGUGCAGGAGAGGUAAGUGGAAUUCCCAGUGUAGCGGUGAAAUGCGUAGAGAUUGGGAGGAACACCAGUGGCGAAGGCGACUUGCUUGACUGUAACUGACGCUGAGGCGCGCAAGUGUGGGGAGCAAACAGGAUUAGAUACCCUGGUAGUCCACACCGUAAACGAUGAAUGCUAGGUGUAGGGGGUAUCGUCCCCUUCUGUGCCGCAGUCAACACAAUAAGCAUUCCGCCUGGGGAGUACGGCCGCAAGGUUGAAACUCAAAUGAAUUGACGGGG